AACACACUCGAAACAAUUGAACUCAUUCCUUUUAAUCCGUUCAGUUGAUGAUAAAUCUCUGAUCCAUCCGAUCAUUUUCUCGUCUCUAAAUUUUUAUAAAAAUGGUACAGAAGUGUUAAGAGUCUGCGUUACCAACACACCCAACUGAUUUUGACAAGAUCAAAAAUCGCUUUUUUGUUUAUUUAUAAUUUUUUUUUUGUUUUUGUUAUUUAAAUGAAAGUGAUCUAAGCACAAAAUCAAAGAAAAUGAAUCGCAAGCGAUCCCGCUUGGAAAAUAUGUUCCCCAUCGAGGUCCAUCGCGCGGACGAAGACAGAGCAAAUUAUGUUUUGCGAGAAGAAAUUGAUCCGGAACAAAAUACAUCACGACAGUCAAUUGAUAAUCUGAGGACCUUCCGAUCGAAUUCUUCAGAGUCAAACUCACAUCAAAAUGUGAUGAAUUCGCAGGGGAAUAUGAGACGUUGGUCGCAAACGUAUUUACCGAAAGGAGCAAAAAAUGGUAAAAGAACAGUUCGACAAAAGACCAUUAACUUUAUGCCGUCACGAAUGCAAGGCGCAUUAGGUAUUGACGUUCACCGUGAUCACGAUUUAGAAAUCGAUCAACUAACUCAAGAGAUUGAGAAACAUGAACAUCUGAUGGAAGACACUGCCUAUUCGGAACAACUGAGAAUAGACACGCUCAAAGCACUACCACAAUCGUUGACCAUUAAGCGUCAAAUAAAAUCGAAACUGACCAAAACCGUUACAGAUAACGCCAGAGCGAAAUCAAUCAGUCGUCACACUAAAAUUAAAUACAAAGUGACCAUGAAGGUCAAACGAACGAAACAGCGAAUUAUGAGCACCCUAAACAGUAUCGAAUUGUGGUACGGUUCAAUGAAAGAAAUUGAGGGACGAUUUGGCAGCGGUGUUGGAACUUAUUUUAAAUUUUUGCGUUGGCUGUUCGGUUUGAAUCUGUCGCUAUGCGUUAUUGCCGUAGGGUUCAUUGUUGUUCCACAAAUUCUAUUCAAUGCUUCAGCCGGCAGUGAGAACGAUGAGGUCUUCAAUUUUGCUGAUCUGUUUACGGCGCAGGGAAUGCUUAGAAAGUCAAUACUGUUCUAUGGCUCCUAUAGCAAUCUAACGAUCAAUUUGAUUGGCAAUAAUUAUUACAACGUGCCAUACGCUUACUUUAUGACCAUGAUCCUGUUGUACGUGUUCACGUUCACAGUUAUUUCCGUUGGCAUGGCUCGAUCGUAUCGACGUAGUUUCAUAGAAACCUCGGGUGGCGUUCAGAAUAUCUUUGCGCACAAAAUUUUCUGUUGCUGGGACUUUGGUAUUUCAAAUAAAAAGUCGGCUGCAUUGAAACAUCAGUCCAUUUUCAAUGAUCUGCAGGAGACGCUCAACGAAUUCUAUCACACGCCGGAAAAGCCCACCAAAUUACAAUCGAUUUAUAUAAUUUUGGGUCAAAUUACGGCUCACGUUUUGGUAUUAGUAAUGCUAGCCGGAUUAGGAGUUGGAAUGUGGGCUGCGUUGAAUGCCAUUGGUGAUAGCAGUACGUCUACGGACAUUUCAACGCUGUACGUGUCGUUCGGAAUAACGUUCACAAUUCUGAUUUUACAAUUGUUUUUCACGUGGAUUGCAAAAAUGGAAGAUUACAAAUCGUCCAGGACAGCCCUUCAUGUGACACUGUUGCGAAACUAUUUGCUGGAUUUGGUGAUCAUUGGAGUUCUUGUAGUAUUUUGGUUAACCAAAAAUUUGACUGGAUGUUGGGAAACAUCAAUUGGCCAAGAAAUUUAUCGCUUGGUUGUCGUUGACUUUAUAGUAUUCAGUUUGGGCGGUGCAAUUAUUUACUUGAUAAGAUUUUUAAUUUACAAAUUCGUUUGGUCGUCUGUAGAUCUUCCAGAAUUCGAUUUGUCAAUGGGCAGUUUGAGUUUGAUAUUCAAUCAGAGUUUGCUAUGGAUCGGUUUACUAUUUUCGCCACUCCUAGCAGGUGUGGUUUCCAUCAAAAUGUUUUUAACAUUUUACAUCAAAGUAAGAAAAAACGGUUCUGAUUUACUGCUGCAAGCCACCAGCCAAAUUCUACCGCUCAGCACAAACGUCGACACUGUUUUUGGUGAUGACAUUCCUCUCCCUUUUGGGCAUCGUUGUUGCACAUGGCUACAUCAUCACUCAAGUCGCCGUUAGCGAGCAGUGCGGUCCGUUCCGAGAUCAUGGAUUCAUGUUUCAAGUGUUUAUUGAAGGAAUGCUUGAAUUGAGAGACGGUCAUUGGUUCUGGCGGUUAAUUUUAAUUGUCACCAAACCGGCCGUUAUCGGUGGAAUAUUGCUAUUGAUGUGCGUAAUCGUCUACUAUUUAAGAUCCAAGUCUAGGGCGCGUAUAGCUAUGGUAAAAUUACUGAAGGAAAUGCUGCAAUUAGAAGCCAAAGACAAAGAAUUUUUACUGUCAAACAUAACUCGUAUCACCGAGGGUAAAGACUGGCUCUACGAUCACAUUAACUUCGAAGAUUCCGACAACAGUCUGACCUGGAAGUACAAAGACAAAUACAAUGCUCACGACGUGGAUAGCAAUCGGAACUAUCAAAGCUCAUCACAGGAUCAAAACAUCCGCAACCGACGAUAUUAGUUUUUUAGUAUGGGGCGAAGCAAUUUAUUGGAUCAGUAUUAAACGUUUUACUUUAUUUGAAUUUAUUUUAACAAAUUUACUUUAUUCAAAUAAAGACAUGAAUUUACAGCUUUAUCAACCAGUGUUACUAGCA